AUUGAACGCUGGCGGCAGGCCUAACACAUGCAAGUCGAACGGUAACAGGAAACAGCUUGCUGUUUCGCUGACGAGUGGCGGACGGGUGAGUAAUGUCUGGGAAACUGCCUGAUGGAGGGGGAUAACUACUGGAAACGGUAGCUAAUACCGCAUAACGUCGCAAGACCAAAGAGGGGGACCUUCGGGCCUCUUGCCAUCGGCUGUGCCCAGAUGGGAUUAGCUAGUAGGUGGGGUAACGGCUCACCUAGGCGACGAUCCCUAGCUGGUCUGAGAGGAUGACCAGCAACACUGGAGCUGAGACACGGUCCAGACUCCUACGGGAGGCAGCAGUGGGGAAUAUUGCACAAUGGGCGCAAGCCUGAUGCAGCCAUGCAGCGUGUAUGAAGAAGGCCUUCGGGUUGUAAAGUACUUUCAGCGGGGAGGAAGGGAGUAAAGUUAAUACCUGUAAUCAUUGACGUUACCCGCAGAAGAAGCACCGGCGAACUCCGU
rnacentral:rRNA from 1 species